rnacentral:lncRNA from 10 species
CUUUGCUUCCACUUCUAAGUGAGAACAUACAGUGUUUGGUUUUUCAUUCCUGAGUUACUUCACCUAGAACAAUGGCCUCCAGCUCCAUCCAAGUUGCUGCAGAAGACAUUUCAUUCCUUUUAUGGCUGAGUAGUAUUCCAUGAUGCCCUGGAAUACACUUGUGUCAGUGACAAAUGCUGCUUUGCUGUGCUACAUCGAGUACAAGAGAAAUACAUGGGCUAUCUUCAGCACAGAACACAAACUCUGCCUUCUUUUCUCAAGUCCAGUGAUUCAAGUUUGACACACCACACCACGGUGGAUGUGCCUUGUCAUGACACAUCUUCUCAGCAGCACUAGAAGAUACAUCCAAAGUCCUGUGAGCAAGGACACAGCGAGAAGAUGGCUGUCUACAAGCCAGGAAGAGAGUCCUCACCAGAACCAAACCCUGCUGGACUUUGAUCUUGGACUUCCCAGCCUCUAAAACUGUGAAGACAUAAAUUUCUGUUGUUAAACCCACACAGGUCUGUGGUAUCUGUUUAUUAUGGCAGCCCAGUAAGACUAAGACAGGCCAUCACAAGACAUGAAUGUUUUGGACCUUCUCUUGGGCCCUAGUAAACAGAAAUCAGGUACGCAAAAGGGGUAAGCAUAUAAUUUCCUUUAUUUUUAUUUUUAAUGUGUAAGCCUUAGGUUUUUAUUUAUUUAUUUGGUGAAGACAAUCACAUUGUGUACGUACAAUGUAAUUAUAUUGUUGACGAGAAGUUACUUAAAAUUUUUUAAAAAUUCUAAUCGAUUUCUAGAUGUCCAAAUGAGAAGAUAGCAUUUAUAUACCAUCAGAACAUAAAAUAAUUCAAAAAAAUAAAUUUAUAAAACAAUAUGUAUUAUAUUGAGAGAAAGAGAGGGAGAGAGUAUUGGAAGAAUAUAUGCAAAUACAAUGUGAUAAUGUGAUGUCUUUGUGAGAAUGCUAUAUGUCAUUUUCUUUGUUUAUAUGAAUUUUUACAAUUUUUACCUUUGAAAUAUAAAAAAGAGAGAAUAAAAGUCAUUGAAAAAAUCAAAAGUAACUAUUUUCAUAGGUGAGUAAGUAUACAUCUUUAACAGAAC